UGGGGAAUUUUGGACAAUGGGGGAAACCCUGAUCCAGCCAUCCCGCGUGUGCGAUGAAGGCCUUCGGGUUGUAAAGCACUUUUGGCAGGAAAGAAACGUCAUGGGUUAAUACCCCGUGAAACUGACGGUACCUGCAGAAUAAGCACCGGCUAACUACGUGCCAGCAGCCGCGGUAAUACGUAGGGUGCAAGCGUUAAUCGGAAUUACUGGGCGUAAAGCGUGCGCAGGCGGUUCGGAAAGAAAGAUGUGAAAUCCCAGAGCUCAACUUUGGAACUGCAUUUUUAACUACCGGGCUAGAAUGUGUCAGAGGGAGGUGGAAUUCCGCGUGUAGCAGUGAAAUGCGUAGAUAUGCGGAGGAACACCGAUGGCGAAGGCAGCCUCCUGGGAUAACACUGACGAUCAUGCAAGAAAGCGUGGGGAGCAAACAGG
rnacentral:rRNA from 1 species